rnacentral:rRNA from 1 species
AUACGGAGGGUGCAAGCGUUAUUCGGAAUCACUGGGCGUAAAGGGUGCGUAGGCGGUUUGAUAAGUCUGAUGUGAAAUCCUAUGGCUCAACCAUAGAACUGCAUUGGAAACUGUCAGACUAGAAUACUGAAGGGGCAGAUGGAAUUAGUGGUGUAGGGGUAAAAUCCGUAGAUAUCACUAGGAAUACCGAAAGCGAAAGCGAUCUGCUGGGAAGUUAUUGACGCUGAGGCACGAAAGCGUGGGGAGCAAACGGGAUUAGAUACCCCAGUAGUCC